AACGCACAUUGCGCCCGCCAGCACUCUGGCGGGCAUGCCUGUCCGAGCGUCAUUUCAACCCUCAGGCCCCGCCUGGCGUUGGAGCCCUGCGCAGCGCAGGCUCCCAAAGACAGCGGCGGGCGCGCCCCGGAACCGAGCGCAGUAAUGCUAUCUCGUUCUGGUCCGGUGCGCGCUCCGGCCGUAAAACCCCCCAAACUUCAAGUGGUUGACCUCGGAUCAGGUAGGAAUACCCGCUGAACUUAA
rnacentral:misc_RNA from 1 species